GGACCGGUGCAUGCCGGGAAGUAGAGUUUUUCCGUCUCUGAACGGCCCAGAGACGUUUCCUCUCCCCUCUAACGCCGCUCACACUCUGCAGUCUUCAGAGGCCAGGAUAUGUUAAUGCUGGAGUUGUUCCUGUGUGGUGGCCUCUCAGAUCUAAUGUGGACACAAUGAAGUACAAAGGAUGUGACAGAACUAUGCAAGAAUGGAUUUAGAGGUUGUCCAUCAGUCAAUACUACGCCCAGUCAACAGAUCACAUCAGAAAAUGCAGCACAAGAUGAGUUUACGAGUAUAUUGAAAAAGAAAGAGACAUGCCCCUGAAGGCAAACACAGGCAAAAGUAAAUGUGAUGGCAGUUAAAGACUUCAUUUGUUUUUCUCAUAGGGUAGCACAGGAAAUCGGAGCAGCAAGCUUUAGCAAAGGAUUUCAGUCUGGCAGCUGGCGAUGUUAAAUCCAAGUAGACGUCAUUUGUAUGUUUAAUGUUUGUCUGGCAUAAACGCUGAUUCAUUGAAAAAAGGCCUAUUUGUUGACAAAAUGUAAAAAUAUGAGGUGAACACAAGAGCAUGUCAAGUGGAAAUGUGCGCUAGCUGAACCCUGAAUGCUCUUUCCUGGAUGUGUUAUUAGGCAGGCCCUUGUUGUGUGUUGCAGAUGCCUGCCAUUACUUGGUUGAGAAUCCAGACAGUACAUGUCUCAAUUCUAUUGAUGUCCCAAAUCUGGAUGGGACAAAAAAUACUCUGGGUAAGAGUCAAGAUUCUAAAAUUUUGAAAAUCUGGAACUAAAUACAGUAAGAUACACAUUUUAGUAAGAAUAAAUAUAAGUAAUGAGGCUUUAAAAAAGUCAGCCUCAGGGAUUAAUCUCCAAAAUAUACAAAAUAGCUCAUGCAGCUCAAUAUCAAAAAACAAAUAACCCAAUCAAAAAAUGGGGGGGAAGAUCUAAAUAGACAUUUCUCCAAAGAAGACCUACAGAUGGCCAAAAAACACAUUAAAGAUGCUCAACGUCACUAAUUAUCAGAGAAAUGCAAAUCAAAACUACAAUGAGGUAUCACCUCACACUGGUCAGAAUGGCUAUCAUCAAAAAAUCUACAAACAAUAAACGCUGGACAGGGUGUAGAGAAAAGGGAACCCUCUUGCACUGUUGGUGGGAAUGUAAAUUGAUACAGCCACUAUGGAGAACAGCAUGGAGGUCCCUUAAAAAACUAAAAACAGAACUACCGUAUGACCCAGCAAUCCCACUCCUGGGCAUAUACCCAGAGAAAACCAUAAUUCAAAAAGAUACAUGCAACCCAAUGUUCAUUGCAGGACUAUUUACAAGAGCCAGGACAUGGAAGCAACCUAAAUGUCCAUCCACAGAGGAAUGGAUAAAGAAGAUGUGGUACGUACAUACAAUGGAAUAUUACUCAGCCAUAAAAAGGAACAAAACAGUGCAAUUUGCAGAGACGUGGAUAGACCCAGAAACUGUCAUACAGAGUGAAGAAAGAGAAAAACAAAUAUCGUAUAAUAUCGCUUAUAUGUGGAAUCUAGAGAAAUGGUACAGGUGAACUUAUUUGCAAAGCAGAAAUAGAGACACAGAUGUAGAGAACAGAUUUAUGAAUACUGAGGCGAGGGGGGAAGCUGGGGGUGGGAUGAAUUGGGAGACUGGGAUUGACAUAUAUACCUACUAUGUAUAAAAUAGAUAACUAAUGAGAACCUACUGUUUAGCACAGGGAACUCUACUCAAUGCUUUGUGGUGACCUAAAUGGGAAGGAAAUCUAAAAAACAGGGGAUAUAUGUAUAUGUAUAACUGAUUCACCUUGCUGUACAACAGAAACUAAUACAACAUUGUAAAGCAACUAU